GUAGGUGGCAAGCGUUGUCCGGAAUUAUUGGGCGUAAAGCGCGCGCAGGCGGUUCUUUAAGUCUGAUGUGAAAGCCCACGGGCUCAACCGUGGAGGGUCAUUGGAAACUGGAGAACUUGAGUACAGAAGAGGAAAGCGGAAUUCCACGUGUAGCGGUGAAAUGCGUAGAGAUGUGGAGGAACACCAGUGGCGAAGGCGGCUUUCUGGUCUGUAACUGACGCUGAGGCGCGAAAGCGUGGGGAGCAAACAGGAUUAGAUACCCUGGUAGUCCACGCCGUAAACGAGGAGUGCUAAGUGUUAGGGGGUUUCCGCCCCUUAGUGCUGCAGCUAACGCAUUAAGCACUCCGCCUGGGGAGUACGGCCGCAAAGGCUG
rnacentral:rRNA from 1 species